GAUGGCUGUAGCUCAGUGGUAGGACAUCUGCUUUGCAUGCAGAAGGUCCCAUGUUUAAUCCCAGAUGGCAUCUUCA